rnacentral:rRNA from 1 species
UUGGAGGGCAAGUCUGGUGCCAGCAGCCGCGGUAAUUCCAGCUCCAAUAGCGUAUAUUAAAGUUGUUGCAGUUAAAAAGCUCGUAGUUGAAUUUCGGGAUCAAUUUAUUGGUCGUGCUAUUGUACGUACUGGUAUUAUUGAUUUCUACCUUCUGACGAACCAUGAUGCCAUUAAUUUGGUGUCUUGGGGAAUCAGGACUGUUACUUUGAAAAAAUUAGAGUGUUUAAAGCAGGCUCACGCUUGAAUACAUUAGCAUGGAAUAACGAAAUAGGACGUUUGAUUCUAUUUUGUUGGUUUCUAGGAUCGACGUAAUGAUUAAUAGGGAUAGUUGGGGGCAUUAGUAUUCAAUUGUCAGAGGUGAAAUUCUUGGAUUUAUUGAAGACUAACCACUGCGAAAGCAUUUGCCAAGGAUGUUUUCAUUAAUCAAGAACGAAAGUUAGGGGAUCGAAGACGAUCAGAUACCGUCGUAGUCUUAACCAUAAACUAUGCCGACUAGGGAUCGGAUGAUGUUAAUUUUUUAAUGACUCAUUCGGCGCCUUACGGGAA